rnacentral:rRNA from 1 species
CAGCAGCCGCGGUAAUACGUAGGUGGCAAGCGUUGUCCGGAAUUAUUGGGCGUAAAGGGCUCGCAGGCGGUUUCUUAAGUCUGAUGUGAAAGCCCCCGGCUCAACCGGGGAGGGUCAUUGGAAACUGGGAAACUUGAGUGCAGAAGAGGAGAGUGGAAUUCCACGUGUAGCGGUGAAAUGCGUAGAGUUGUGGAGGAACACCAGUGGCGAAGGCGACUCUCUGGUCUGUAACUGACGCUGAGGAGCGAAAGCGUGGGGAGCGAACAGGAUUAGAUACCCCUGUAGUCCCUGUCUCUUAUAC